ACGUUACCGUUUCGGUGGCUCGCGACCAGAGGCGGAGUGUGCCCGGAGCCUUCUGGGAAAUGUAGUUCAGCCUCCCCAGGGCCCCGGCCCAGCCGAAUGGCUCUGCCCUCUCGGGCCCCAGAACCAAGGCCUAGGUGGCGCGGGCGCGUGACGGGCCUGUUUGGAAGCCCGGGAAGUGGGGGCUGUUCUGCGCACGGCCAUGUGCAGGCCCAGGCCGCGAAAGUUUCUGAACUAUAAAGCAGCUCAUGAGGAGUUUCUCUGAAAUGUAACUCUCCCACAGCACGAGCGAGCCUCCUUGGGGACUUUUCCAGCCAAGAAUGAUCACAGCAAUGAGGGGCUCUAUGUCCUUGGCCCCCCGGGGCCCUCAAAAGCAGACAGCAUUCUAACAGUGACGGUGGAAUCCGAGCACCAUUCGUGGGGGGAGAGCCCUUGCUGCCAGGGAGUCAUCCUCCCAGCCGGGAGCUGGCCCGCUCACACUUCGGACAGUUCUACCGCCAGGAAAUUUGCGACCCCGUGAGGUUCUGAAAUGUCCCCAUGAGCUCUGCUACCAGUGGCUGAGGCUAGAGAGACGCAGCAAGUUGCCCAUCCUGGAGCUGCUGGUGCUGGAGCAGUUCCUGGCCAUCCUGCCCCAGGAGCUGCAGGGCUGGGGCUGGGAGCGCCCCUGGGCAGUGGAGAGGAGGUGGCGGUGACAGUGAGAACUCAGUGAACCCGGCCAGCAGAUGGUGACCUCAGGACUGAGCACAGGCAUUCAGCUCAGAUCAGGAACUUGCUGAAAGCAGACCCCACGGGUGACUCAGGCAGACUUCAGGGAAGCUCUACAGGUGCCAGAGCUGGGAGACACCUCAGAAUGUUCCAGUACCUGAGGCCAGCAUCAGGGAACCUCACAGAGGGGUGGCUGAGCAGCUGUCCUGCCCAAGAGAAAAGUUUCAAGCAGGAGAGAGAAGACAAGCCGUGAAGGUGACAAGUGACCAAACCUGCAGGCCAGGUCUUAGCUGACAUGUUACUUCUUCCCAGGAGUCAGUCUCAGCCCUGCAAGUCUGGGUUAUGCAAUUCUCCUUUGUGCUUCUGUGGGGCCCAAUACUUCCUCUUUCAAAACGCGGAGGCUGCUGCAUUGUCUGCCUCCUACAAUGGACGUUCUGCGAGGGCAGGGACCAUGUCAGUCUCACUCACUAGCAUCCCAGGCACUGAUGCACGCCGCCUGGCCCUCCACAGGCUCACUGAAGGUUUGCUAAGUGGGUGAAUGAAUGAGUGAAUGAAGGAAUGAAUGAGUGUGCCUUUCCUGUUCCCUGAAGUAGAGUCUACAAAAGCCAGUCCACUUCUCUCCUUCUGUCCCCUUUCCCUCCCAGUUCACCAGGGGCCUCUCAUUGUCCCCUAAAUCUCUGGAAACAUAGCCCAAGGAAUAGCGGAGCUAAUGGACCAGUUCCCUCCCUUGUGGUUGGGGGGAGACAGUGGGGUUUGGAGUGAGACAGACCGAGCUUCAAGCACCCUGCCACUUACUAGCUGUGCAGGUAUUUUCUUUAUUUACAAAGUGGAGAUAAUGGGUACCAGGCUGGCAGGGUUGCUCUGAGGAAUUGCACACUGGCCUGACACCUGGUGACAGCCAUCGCACCAGCAUUCUUACUCCCUUCCUUCCCAGCACUUGCUUCUAAGCCUCCUCCGAAACCUUGGGACACAGACACCCUUGCAGUCCCAAACGUGCUGCUGUCUUCCUGAUCCCCUUGUCUCUUCCCUGAGGUUGCCCAAGCCACUUGCUGCUGCCACCUCCUUCUUCCCUGUCCGUUAUCCCCAGCACAAAUAAUAGUGCCAUCUACAGAGUAGAGUAGAUGCUGAAAAGAUACUUGUUGAAUGAGUGAGUAAAUGAAUGAACCAGUCAGUCACAGCAGCCUCCCCUGCGGUGUGUUCACCAGUUGUCAAACGUGUAAGGUAGUCACCAGCCUGUUGAUGGGCGGGUGGCCUCCUGCCCAGUGGACAUCUCCCGUAACAGGUUGGGCACAUGUGAAGACACAAGGCCAAGACUUUACUGAAGAAAGAAGAAAGAGAAGGGGGGACAAUGAGGGAGCAUCGCGGCCCUGUGGAAAAGGAAAUUGCCAAGGGUGGUGGAGGCCAGACUCUUCUCUCUCUUUUUUUUUUUUUUUGUGAGGAAGAUCAGCCCUGAGCUAACAUCCAAUGCCAAUCCUCCUCUUUUUGCUGAGGAAGACUGGCCCUAGGCUAACAUCCGUGCCCAUCUUCCUCCACUUUACAUGGGACGCCACCACAGCAUGGCUUAACAAGCAGUGCGUCGGUGCGCACCCGGGAUCCAAACCCGAGAACCCCAGGCCACCGAAGCGGAUGCGCGCACUUAACCACUGUGCCACCGGGCCGGCCCCCAGACUCUUCUCUUGCGCACAGCAUUAGGUGCCCCUGCGAGUGGACCCCAGGGGUUACAGGUACACGACUGUGUCAUCGAGCAAACUCUCCCACAGGGGGUCUGCAUGCCCCACAGCCAAAGUCUGUCUGCCAUGACUGGUGCUAAAAGCACAAGUUCCAACAAGAUCGUUUUCUAGAUUCGCCCCUUUGUGGUGUUUGGCUCUUGUGUGAACAUGUGCCAUCACGUGUGCUCUGAGGCCCCUCUAACGGUCCUCCUCAGGCCCCACAUGCUCGCCUGUGUCUCAUGAGGUUGGAGCGCCCCCAAAAGCUCCCUCAGCGGCCCUCUCUCCAGUCGGAUCUUCGGGUGAUGAAUGGGGCUGAUUUCUCCUCAAAUGCUCACCACCCCCAAUUCAUUUGUCUGAAGGAUUCAGCCCCAGAACAGCUCGUCUGCUGUCAGGUGAGGCUCGUGCCAUCUUGUUGCCCUCCCUGCGGCGGAGAGCUCGUCCCCUGUGGUGCUCCAGAGGGUGCGCUCUGCCGUGGGCCAGCUUUAU